CUUUCUCUGGUAGCAACAUCCCUGCUGUGGGUGAGUGUAGGGGAAUCUUGAAGAGAAGUGUUUACUGUAAGUUUUCUUGGAUUUGGCAGCUACUUUCAUCCAGCAGCAAGGAACCGCUGUGGAGGUUAAGGACCUUGACGCGAGACGAGUAUCUCGGAGUCAGAUUGGACCUUUCUAUUUUCGGAGG